rnacentral:rRNA from 1 species
AUGUGUGAACCAUCGCCGAUCUCGACCAUGCAGUUGUCUUCAUCGUGUCCAGGAGCUCGCCGGAGUCAUCCGUCGCCGCUAUCGUGGUCACCACGUCGCCUCCGCCGCCACCAUGGGCGGUCCUCUCGGUCCGGCCCGAGCUUUACCUCCGCCGGUCCGGUGCAGGAAAAGGGGUCCGCCGCGCUGCUCGGUCCGGUCCGGUUCGGUCCGCCACCGGCCGGUCUAAACGGCGGCUCGGUCAGGGACCGGACCGGCCUGGACCGUGCCCACCCUGAAUCCCAACUACAAGUCGACAAUUGA